UCCCUGGUGGUCCAGUGGCUAAGAUUCUGUGCUUCUAAUGCAGAGGACCCAGGUUUGAUCCUGGUACGGGAA
rnacentral:tRNA from 1 species